CAGCGACAACUGGACUGUGCCAGAGCCUCUUGCACAAAGCGGGCUUUAAGGCCAAGCAAGGAGCUUGGAGAGGUCAGUGAGGGGCAGAGGGCUGAGCGUCCCUGGAUGAGGUGGAGACGUGAUGAGGCCGGAUGAGGGUCUUUGCAGACGUCAUCAGGUUAAGAUGAGGUCAGGCUGGACUCAGAGGACCCCGAAAUCCAUCUACCAGCGUCCUUAGGAGAGGAGAGGACCCACGGACACGCAGCGGACAGACGGCCACGAGGAGUGUCCAGCACCAUGAGAGAAGACGUUUGCUAUUUGAAGCCCCCAGGUUUGAGGAGCUGAGGAGCUAGAACACUACCUGGAUCAGCAGACACCAGCC